GUAGUCGCGGCCGAGCGGUUAAGGCGGUGGACUAGAAAUCCAUUGGGGUCGCCCCGCCCAGGUUUGAACCCUGCCGAAUACA